UCCCCCAUAUCCAUUCACUCCAAUCUAGGUUAAUGCCCCACUACACACUACACAUAUGAUACUAUCAUCUUUCCCAACCAAACCCUCUCCCAAUAAUAAGUUAAUAAAUCCCAAAAGUUGCCCCUAAAAGCUUCGUUCGGUGUUGAGCAUUGAAGUGAGAAUAUUACUUCAUUAUCCCCAAACAUAAAUUUUGUAUCCACAAACUAGCCACGUGCACAUAUGCAGACAAGCAAACCCCAUCAAACCCUCUACCAUGUAUCUUUUUUGUUUUUUCACCCAUGAAAAAAUGAAUAUGAAAAUUCCAAAAGCAUUGGAAACCGAGUUGGUGGAGUUUUUUUCAUUCCCCACACACAAACAUGCCCUUAACCACAUUAGACCAAGAAUUUCAAGUUUUUAACUCCACCUUUUUUCUCUUCAUAUGCAUAUUAUAAACGAUAAAAAAUUACAAUAAUGUAGUAUAAUCAAAAGCUAAAAUCUCGCCUUUAUAUACUACCUAUCAUGACACUCCUUGUCCCUAUACUUACUCUCCCUUUCAUUUACUUCUUCUAAGCCUUAUAGCAUAUUAUAUAGCUAAAGAUAUAGCUUUUUGCCAUUUCCAUUUUUGAGCUUUGGUUAGCUUUGUUACUCAUUCAUAGCUUUUCCUUGCACCCACAUACAUGAAUUCUAAAGUGGUAUCUUCAAAAAUUCAGGUAGUAAUGAUAGCGGCGGAUGCUCGCUCCUGCGUGGACCGUGGCGGUGUACGGUGGAAGGGUUCUUCUACAAAGAAGAACCAAAGGUGAAGAUGAUGAAAGAACCAACAUAACACAGGCUUUGCAAUAACACUCUCACCCCACCAUGAUAUAUAAGGUGCAGAAUUGGUAGAGUGUGAUCAUUGCAUUGCGGGGAAUUGAGGGUAGCGGUCCGAAUUACCUUUAACUUUAGGUGUUUAUUUCUUGGUUUUUUAUUAUGUUUUCUUUCUUAAGUAUUUCCCACUGAUUUUCUCUUUUUUUGUUUUGUUUUAAAUUUCAAUAUAAUUAUGCUUAUGUUAUGAUGGAAGCAUGGGAUGUAAGAGAUGCAUACGAGGUUGCUGGGGUAGGUUAUGGUGUGUUUGGUCAAAUGGGUAGCAUGAGAGUUUUGUCUUAUGCUUGGAGGGUUAAUUUAGGGUCUCAAUGCAGCUGGCAUGCAUCACUUACACUCAUCAAUGUAGCUUUGUCAUGUGUUUGGUAUAAAGGAAAGUGACUUUGGUUUUCUAAAUUUCGUUCUUCUCUAUUGUGACACUCUUCAGCUUUUGAUUUCUCUUCCUUCGAUAGGAGAUGCAAAGUAGACAAUGAUAAGUUACCAAACAACCAGAAG
rnacentral:lncRNA from 1 species